UUGUAGUAUAUGUUGUUUAUAAGUAAGUAAUUUUAUUUCAAAAUAAAAAUACCUACCAACUAAUAAAUAUUAGCAAGUCAGCCCGUGAGUUUAGCUGGCUAUUACAAACUAAAAUCCUCAUAUUAGAAAUCACCGAUCGAUAUUAUAUUGUUUUCUCAGAUUAGUAAUACAAAUAACUUUGGACGGACAAACAUUAGUAUUAUUUGUCACAUUAUAUUGCGUCUGCUACAUGAAUCCCGCGCGUUCCGAAACACUCAAAAUCAGUUGAACGGACGGUAAAACAAGUAUCUUUAAAUUUCUAAUGUUAUAGUAAAUAGAGUAUAAUUAUGUAAUAUCAUUUUAUGAUUUUAUUAUGGUUGUUCUGCAGCGAUUUUUCAAUUGAUGUUAUAUCAUAAUUUGGGUAAGUAAAAUUUUAUUGCUAUAAUUUUUCUGAAUUUCGGAACGUAUUUAAUAAAUUCUGUUUUAUCUAUGGUAUGGAUAUUUACUUUGCAAUAAUUUUCAUGACAUGAGACUACAUUUUGCUGCAAUUACAAGCGAUUUGAUCUGGUUUUGUUAUAAUUUCGUUUCAAUUUUAUGUGAAUAGGUACUGAGUUUAUAAAAGUAACAUAAUAUUGUCUUGUACUUAUAUAAUUAGUUUUUGUGUAUUUCGGAUUCCGUUUACAUCUAGGUACCUACUAUGUCGGGGUCCUACGAGAAAGCUGGCGUAUCAACGCCACGAAUAUUCAGGCGCCCGUAAAUCGUCAAAACGAGUGAAAAGCGCAUUCAGUUGGAUACAUGUGGACGACAAGAUAGUAAACCUGUAAAUUAUAACUCAAGUUGUGGCCAGCUUCAUUGUAAACAAACUUUAGUUUUCAAGUUCAAGGACAAAUGCGUGUCAGUAACAUGGAUAAAUGCUACUUCAUAUGUUUUAUUUCAGUCAAUGAACCUUUGACUGUUAUAGAAGUUUGUCGAGAUAAUAUAAUGACUUUAUCAGCAAUAUGAUGCCAAAGUUAAUACACUUUUUUAAAGAAUGUAUUCUGCCAGAAAUAGUUUUGAGACAUGUUCAAAAAAAUGCGAAAUGUAUACCUAGGUAUGAAAGGUACACAAUUUUUUUUUAUUUUAUUUUAUGAUUUCCAUUGAUUUCAAUCUAUAUUAUAUUUUUUUCUUGUGGGAUAUUGUUUUCAUCCACAUCAAAAGUUAAACACAAAAUAUACUAAUUAUAGUAAUUUUCUUUCGCAGUGUAGCGGUAGUUUCCAGGCAAUAAUGAGGAAGGAUGAGCGAAAACAACACGACAAAUGUUUUUUUAUUGUACUAUUAUAGUAGUGUGUUUAGAAUCUACAUUAUCAAUGUUUACAGUCAUGUUUUUUUGAUGUCAGAAAACUGAAAUGGUGUACUCGUCGUAAUGAACAUAAUGUUCAUAAUGUGAUAUGAAUACAUUGACCUAUUUUAAGGUUUCUGAAAAACAAAAAGGAAAGUUGUUGCUUUUUUAUUUCCUUAUGUAGUAUAGUGAUUAUGGAUGCUUAGAUAUUCUCAAACAUUUUUCCGCUUUGAUUGCAAUCUAUUAUUCUGGUUGCCUUGUUUAUGAAUUAUAGUUUUGAAUUAUUAUUUUGAAUGAGAUUAUUUUUUAAUAAUCAGUCACGUAUCAAGCAUUCAUGUCACAUAAAUACUUGUAAUAAUUGCAGGUUAGUAUAUACAUUCUAUUAAAUAAUGUAUAAGAUAAUAAAAUAAAACUGUCUUACAUUGCA